ACUAGGUCUCACCCCUCUCCAAGAAGUAAGCUAUGAUUGGUUCCUAGAAAAGAAGGGAUCACUGUGUUUAGGGGUGUAGCCACUGUUAAUGUUCCUGACUCAUGUUCCUGUAGUCAACUCGGAAUACAGUAUGAAACUCACACAAAGAGAGAUGUAACAGGAGGAGGAAGAUGUGGUAAUACAAAGAAGGGACAAGGCAGGAAGGGCAAGGAGAUAAAAGAGGAUAAUAAAAUGAUCGGGACCAAAGUCAAUCAUAUGUGCAUGUGCUCCGAAGUGCGAAGGAAUAAAUACUUAUUUAACAAGAGACCACAUGAAUCUGGAAUUCUGGCACUCUGCUCCUUUUCAUGUUCGUUGACUAUAAGUGAUACCAGUGGCUGUAAAAAGUUGUGAGCUGUUUCCUUGAACUCUGUCAGGCCCCUGACAAUGCUGGAACGUGUAGGUAUUCUGCAAUUAAUUAUCCAGUCUCUAACUAGAAAACGAAAGUGUCUUGUGGUUAAAGCUGAAGACAAUACCUGGUUUGUCCCAAGAGGAAUGGCAGAAGGAUUCAAUUCUGUAUGCAAGGAAUGGAGGAUGCACCUUCGCUAGGGGAACAAAACCUGGUCAAUCCUACAGUAAAAUGACUAAUUGCUGCAGGAUAGUUAAGAAGGCACAGAACAAAACCCGAGUAAGG
rnacentral:lncRNA from 1 species